GAUGAACGCUGGCGGCGUGCCUAAUACAUGCAAGUCGAGCGAACAGACGAGGAGCUUGCUCCUCUGACGUUAGCGGCGGACGGGUGAGUAACACGUGGAUAACCUACCUAUAAGACUGGGAUAACUUCGGGAAACCGGAGCUAAUACCGGAUAAUAUAUUGAACCGCAUGGUUCAAUAGUGAAAGACGGUUUUGCUGUCACUUAUAGAUGGAUCCGCGCCGCAUUAGCUAGUUGGUAAGGUAACGGCUUACCAAGGCAACGAUGCGUAGCCGACCUGAGAGGGUGAUCGGCCACACUGGAACUGAGACUCGGUCCAGACUCCGACGGGAGGCAGCAGUAGGGAAUCUUCCGCAAUGGGCGAAAGCGUGACGGAGCAACGCCGCGUGAGUGAUGAAGGUCUUCGGAUCGUAAAACUCUGUUAUUAGGGAAGAACAAAUGUGUAAGUAACUAUGCACGUCUUGACGGUACCUAAUCAGAAAGCCACGGCUAACUACGUG
rnacentral:rRNA from 1 species